AAUCACCUUUUCUGGCGAAAGAAUUACUUAGAAUUUAUACAAAGGAGAAAAGUUGGAGGGAGCGACUCUUGAAAAAUGGCAUUGUAAAAUCAUCUCCAGUGCCACCACGGACACGUCCUGAAUGUGUGGGGACUGAGGAGGAUCCUAAGUGCAUUAUAUGUCAGCAAUAUCAGUUGUAUGUGAUUGUAGGCCAUCUGCUUUUGUUUGUCUUGAGCAUUGGCAACACAUCUGUGAAUGCAAACCCAGCAAACAUUGCCUCCUUGACCGUCAUACAUUAGCAGAGUUAAGUGACUUGCUGCUCACUGUCGAUAAAUACAAUGGUGAGGAGACUCAAAGGAGUAAGGUGCUCCAGCAAAGAU